ensembl:lncRNA
CUCUAGCUCCAAUUUAUAAUNAAAAAAAAAAAAAAGACAAAGCACCACAGUACACCCACCGUAUAUAUAAAUGUCAUGUCUAUAUCUUUUAUAUAAUAGAGAAGGAAGGAAGGAAUAAGAUGGAGGGGGGGAGAAAGAGAAAAAGAAAAUCAGAGAGGAGAGGGGAAACAGCGUUAUUCAUUAGAGCCAGAAGUAGAAACGACCCAAAUGUCCAUCAGCAGAUCAAUGGAUAAACAAAGUGUGUUAUACUCCUAAAAUGAAACAUUAUUCAGCUGUAAAAAAUUAAAUACUGAUAUUUGCAUCAUGGAUGAGCCUAGGGAACUGUGCUAAGUGAAAGACACUAGAUACAAAAGGCCAGAUACUGUAUGAUGCUAUGCUAUUAGAAUAUUUCAUAUUUCUUAUCUGAAAUAUUGGCCGGGGUGGGGAGUGUAAAGUGACUGCUUCAAGGGGCUUCUUGAUGAGUCGAUGGAAAUAUUAUGGAAUUAGUGGGAAUGGUUGCACAAUCUUGUGAGUAUACUAAAAGCCACUGGAUUGUAGGUUUUAAGAUGGUGAAUGUUAUGUGAAUUGUAUCUCUGUAAUAAUUGUUAAAUAUUUUUCAAAUGGGUUUAUUCAUUCCUUGAAAUUUUGCUUGAAAUUACCUGGUAUUUUGUUUAUGGGAAGAUUUUUUUUAAAAACGAUCUAUUCAGUUUCUUUAAUUGUGUAGGACUGUACAAGUUGUUCACUUCCUUUUUUUUCAUUGUUUUUUUCUUUCAUCAUUUCUUAAUGGUAAGUUUCGAUAAAUCGUAUUUUUUUCACAGGAUUAGUCUAUUUUGUCUUCAUUUUCAAUUAAAAAAAAUUUUAUUGCUUUUUAGGGCUAAACUCUUGGCAUACAGAAGUUCCCAGGCGAGGGGUCAAAUCAGAGCUACAGCUGCCGGCCUAUACCACAGCCACAGCAACACAGGAUCUGAGCCACGUCUGUGACCUACAACCCACACACACAGCUCACAGCAAAGCUGGAUCCUUAACCUACUGAGUGAGGCCAGGGAUCGAACCUGCAGCCUUGAGGUUACUAGUCAGAUUUGUUUCUGCUGUGCCACAACAGGAACUCCCAUUUUCAAUUUUUUGGUUUUUUUUAAAUUUUUAUUAUUUUUUAUCUUUUUGUCUUUUUGCCAUUUCUAGGGCAGCUUCUGCAGCAUAUGGAUGUUCCCAGGCUAGGGGUCUAAUCAGGGAUAUAGCCGCCAGCCUACACCAGAGCCACAGCUAUGCAGGAUCCGAGCCUUGACGGCAACCUACACCACUGCUCAUGGCAAUGCUGGACCCUUAACCAACUGAGCAAGGCCAGGGAUCAAACCCGAAACCUCAUGGUUCCUAGUCAGAUUCAUUAACCACUGAACCACGACAGGAACUCCUUUCAAUUUUUUGAUAGAAAGUAUUGUUAGUGGUUUGUCUUGCCCUUUUUUUUUUUUUUUUUCAGAACCAUACUUGCCGCAUAUAGAAGUUCCCAGGCUAGGAGUUGAAUUGGAACUACAGCUGCUGUCUUAUACCACAACCACAGCAACUUGGGAUCUGAGCCAUGUCUGCGCCUACACCACAACUCAUGGCAUUGCUGGAUCCUUAAUCCACUAAGCGGGGCCAGGGGUCGAACACACCUCCUCAUGGAUGCUAGUCAGGUUUGUUACUGUUGAACCAUGAUGGGAACUCCUUUUUUGUCUUUGGGGGGGGGUGUUAGUAUUUUAUUAUAUUUAUAUCCCUGCAAUAUCUGUAUUUAUAAUUUAUUUGUGUUGUCUUUCUGUAUACAUUUUUUUGGCCUUGCCUGCAGCAUGCAAAAGUUCCAGGGCAGUGACAACACUGGGUCCUUAUCUGGCAGGCCACCAGGGAAUUCCUAUAUGCUUUUUUAUUUUCUUCUACUUUGAGGGGAUUUAUGUUUAAUAUUUUGUUAUAUAUAUUAUAAUUUUUACAUUUUUCUUUAGCUAUUUUUAGACAUUUUCCACUGUGUCUUGAACAUUAGUUUUAUAAUUUCAAUGAAGGUUUGUGGAGUGCUUUUAUUGGUAAGAUAUUUUUGCUGACUAGUCUACUUUCUAUAUAAUCCUGUAUUGAUCAACCUUGAUCUCUUUUCAAGAGACUCAGGGGUCCCUCCCCUCCCCCAAAUCUGGGAAUUAGUAGGUGCCUGAUUAGCUUCUACUGGCUAACUUUUAUUGUUUUCCUUCCUAAUUGAUCUGUUAAUUCUGUGGUUUCUAUGAUACCAACUUCCUAGCUCUUGACAGACUUCCCAAAAAUCUGUUUAAGAAAAUACGAUUGGGAGUUCCCAUUGUGCUUCAAUGGUAAAGACCCUGACUAGCAUCCACGAGGACGCAUGUUCAAUCCCUGGCCUCGCUCAGUGGGUUAAGGACUGUGUGUUGCCACGAGCUACAGCAUAGGUCACAGGUGUGGCUUGGAUCCCACGUUGCUGUGGCUGUUGUGUAGGCCGGCAGCUACAGCUCUAAUUCAGCCUGUAGGUUGGGAACUUCCGUAUGCCACAGGCAUGACUGUAAAAAGAAAAAAAAAAAA